UACGUAGGGCGCAAGCGUUUGUCCGGAAUUAUUGGGCGUAAAGAGCUCGUAGGCGGCUUGUCACGUCGGGGUGUGAAAGCCCGGGGGCUUAACCCCGGGUCUGCAUUCGAUACGGGCUAGCUAGAGUGUGGGUAGGGGAGAUCGGAAUUCCUGGUGUAGCGGUGAAAUGCGCAGAUAUCAGGAGGAACACCGGUGGCGAAGGCGGAUCUCUGGGCCAUUACUGACGCUGAGGAGCGAAAGCGUGGGGAGCGAACAGGG
rnacentral:rRNA from 1 species